rnacentral:rRNA from 1 species
CAGUAGCCGCGGUAAUACGUAGGGUGCAAGCGUUAAUCGGAAUUACUGGGCGUAAAGCGUGCGUAGGCGGCUUCUUAAGUCGGAUGUGAAAUCCCUGAGCUUAACUUAGGAAUUGCAUUCGAUACUGGGAAGCUAGAGUAUGGGAGAGGAUGGUAGAAUUCCAGGUGUAGCGGUGAAAUGCGUAGAGAUCUGGAGGAAUACCGAUGGCGAAGGCAGCCAUCUGGCCUAAUACUGACGCUGAGGUACGAAAGCAUGGGGAGCAAACAGGAUUAGAUACCCGAGUAGUCCCUGUCUCUUAUAA